rnacentral:rRNA from 1 species
GGACCCGCACAAGCGGUGGAUGAUGUGGAUUAAUUCGAUGCAACGCGAAAACCUUACCUACCCUUGACAUGCCAGGAAUCCUGUAGAGAUACGGGAGUGCCUUCGGGAGCCUGGACACAGGUGCUGCAUGGCUGUCGUCAGCUCGUGUCGUGAGAUGUUGGGUUAAGUCCCGCAACGAGCGCAACCCUUGUCAUCAGUUGCCAGCCUUAAGUUGGGCACUCUGGUGAGACUGCCGGUGACAAACCGGAGGAAGGUGGGGAUGACGUCAAGUCCUCAUGGCCCUUAUGGGUAGGGCUUCACACGUCAUACAAUGGUCGGUACAGAGGGUUGCCAAGCCGCGAGGCGGAGCCAAUCCCGCAAAGCCGAUCGUAGUCCGGAUUGCAGUCUGCAACUCGACUGCAUGAAGUCGGAAUCGCUAGUAAUCGCGGAUCAGCAUGUCG